rnacentral:rRNA from 1 species
GAUGAACGCUGGCGGCGUGCCUAAUACAUGCAAGUCGAGCGAACAGACGAGGCGCUUGCUCCUUUUACGUUAGCGGCGGACGGGUGAGUAACACGUGGGUAACCUACCGAUAAGACUGGGAUAACUUCGGGAAACCGGAGCUAAUACCGGAUAAUAUUUCGAACCGCAUGGUUCGAUAGUGAAAGAUGGCUUUGCUAUCACUUAUAGAUGUGCCUGCGCCGUAUUAGCUAGUUGGUAAGGUAACGGCCUACCAAGGCAACGAUACGUAGCCGACCUGAGAGGAUGAUCGGCCACACUGGAACUGAGACACGGUCCAGACUCCUACGGGAGGCAGCAGUAGGGAAUAUUGGGCAAUGGGCGAAAGCCUGACGGAACAACGCCGCGUGAGUGAUGAAGGUCUUCGGAUCGUAAAACUCUGUUAUUAGGGAAGAACAAAAGUGAAAGUAACUGUGCACGUCUUGACGGUACCUAAUCAGAAAGCAACGGCUAACUACGUG